rnacentral:rRNA from 1 species
GAUGAACGCUGGCGGCGUGCCUAAUACAUGCAAGUCGAGCGAACAGACGAGGAGCUUGCUCCUCUGACGUUAGCGGCGGACGGGUGAGUAACACGUGGAUAACCUACCUAUAAGACUGGGAUAACUUCGGGAAACCGGAGCUAAUACCGGAUAAUAUAUUGAACCGCAUGGUUCAAUAGUGAAAGACGGUUUUGCUGUCACUUAUAGAUAGAUCCGCGCCGCAUUAGCUAGUUGGUAAGGUAACGGCUUAACAAGGCAACGAUGCGUAGACGACCUGAGAGGGUGGUCGGCCACCCUGGAUGUGAGACACGGUCGAGACACCUACGGGAGGCAGCAGUAGGGACUCUUACGCGAUGGGCGAAAGCCUGACGGAGCAACGCCGCGUGAAUGAUGAAGGUCUACGGAUCGUAAAACUAUGUUAUUAGGGAAGAACAAAUGUGUAAGUAACUAUGCACGUCUUGACGGUACCUAAUCAGAAAGCCACGGCUAACUACGUG